CAAAAAACAUUUUUUUCAAUAAUUCGAAAACUAAAAUAGCUUCAAAAAAAUUUAUUCUUGAAAAAUAAUCACAUUUUUAAAGUAGUUGGUAAUGCAGUAAUUGGUUCUUUCGUCGAGUACAUAGUUUAGGCACAAAACGCUUGGUUUCAUACUUUUGCCCAACGCUGGAUAACGCAAAAUUGUUGCAGCACAUGUGACAGACGUGGGUGAAGUUACUCAUUUACCUAAACGUCAAAGGUCUACAUACUCCAGACCACCUUCUUCAGAAUCAAGAAGUAGCACAAGCAGUUUUCAAGAUUUUGCGAGCUCUGGUAGUGAAUAUGUACCUCCUGAUAAACAUCCAACUACUAAUUUUAAUUGGUCAGAUUCAGAUUCUGCCCAGCCUUCUCCUGAUAUUCCAUAUCUAAAGCAGAUUACCACAUCUCAAGAUCGAAUUAAAAUAGAUCCUACUUCGUUACCUGGUGUAGGUUGAAUUAAUUAUUUUAAAUAGUGUUUAAUUUCCAUUAUAUUCAGUGUUCAAAA